rnacentral:rRNA from 1 species
UACGUAGGGGGCAAGCGUUGUCCGGAAUUAUUGGGCGUAAAGAGCUCGUAGGCGGUUUGUUGCGUCUAUCGUGAAAACCUGCAGCUUAACUGUGGGCUUGCGGUGGAUACGGGCAGACUUGAGUUCGGUAGGGGAGACUGGAAUUCCUGGUGUAGCGGUGAAAUGCGCAGAUAUCAGGAGGAACACCGGUGGCGAAGGCGGUUCUCUGGGCCUUACCUGACGCUGAGGAGCGAAAGCGUGGGGAGCAAACAGG